GCUGCUGAACAGCAAGCUGUAUGGCAGGGAGAAGCUUGCAAUGAGCUUUGCUCUGGGAUCGAACUUGGGACCUUGCACUUGUGAAGCAGGCGGUGGAACCACUGAGCUAAAUCCCUGGCACCAGAUGAUUAGAUUCUUAAGAUGUGCUCUGUUUUCUGGACAUAGACACAGACACACACACACACACACACACACACACACACACACGCACAAAUGAUACAGAAUUUAGGAAAGAACCAAGCUAUAAAAUCAGUGUACACAAAUCAAUAGCCUUUUCUGUGCAAUGGGCUGGAAACAACCGUGUAUCUCUUUAAAUAAAUCAUGUGUUGAAAUGCUCACCCCUGGUGUUACAGUAUUAGGAACAGGAGCCUUUGAGAGGAG
rnacentral:lncRNA from 1 species